GACGAACGCUGGCGGCGUGCUUAACACAUGCAAGUCGAACGGAAAGGCCUGCUUUCCCUUGUGGAUUGCGGGUACUCGAGUGGCUAACGGGUGAGUAACACGUUAGUGAUCUGCCCCCAACUUGGGUAUAAGCCUGGGAAACUGGGUCUAAUUCCCGAUAGGACUGCAGGGUGGUGCCUGUGGUGGAACACGAUUUUCUAGUGGUUGGGGAUGAGCUCGCGGCCUAUCAGCUUGUUGGUGGGGUAAUGGCCUACCAAGGCGGCGACGGGUAGCCGGACUGAGAGGGUGGACGGCCACAUUGGGACUGAGAUACGGACCAGACUACUACGGGAGGCAGCAGUGGGGAAUAGUGCACGAGGGGCGGAAGCCUGAUGCAGCGACGCCGUGUGGGGGAUGACGGCCGUCGGGUUGUAAACUCCUUUCGAGCGCGAGGAAGCCACCUGGUUGGAAGGGUGGUGACGGUAGUGGUAGAAGAAGCACCGGCUAAGUACGUG
rnacentral:rRNA from 1 species